GUCUGUGUGAAGGUACACAGAGUCUGACCUGCCCAUUGAAAUAAUUAAAAGGCCGCGGUAUAUUAACUGUGCAAAGGUAGCAUAAUCAUUAGCUUUUUAAUUGAAGGCUUGUAUGAAGGGUUUGACAAAGAAAAGACUGUCUCUAUUUUUAUCUUUGAAGUUAACUUUUAAGUGAAAAGGCUUAAAUAAAUUAAAGGGACGAUAAGACCCUAUAAAUCUUUAUACUAUGAAUAUUUUCUUGUUUAUUAAUAUUGAAAAUAGUUUAAUGUUAACGGGUAAAAUAGUAUGUAUUUUGUUGGGGUGAUGAGAAUAUAAAAUUAACUGUUCUGAGGGAAAACAAAAUUAUUUGAAAAAAUUGGUAGAUCCUUUGUAGAGAUUAAAAGUUUAAGUUACUUUAGGGAUAACAGCGUUAUUUUUUUUGAGAGUUCUUAUCGAAAAAAAAGUUUGCGACCUCGAUGUUGAAUUAAGAGAUCUCUGUGGUGUAGAAGUUAUAGAGAGAAAGUCUGUUCGACUUUU
rnacentral:rRNA from 1 species